GAUGACUCAAAGACCGAAACGCAUCGAACGUAUCAAAAAAACUACAUCAAACAUCUUAAAGAAAGG
rnacentral:tRNA from 1 species